rnacentral:rRNA from 1 species
CCUACGGGUGGCAGCAGUGAGGAAUAUUGGUCAAUGGGCGCUAGCCUGAACCAGCCAAGUAGCGUGAAGGAUGAAUGCACUAUGGGUUGUAAACCUCUUUUAUAUGGGAAUAAAGUGUAGUAUGUAUACUGCUUUGAAUGUACCUUAUGAAUAAGGAUCGGCUAACUCCGUGCCAGCAGCCGCGGUAAUACGGAGGAUCCGAGCGUUAUCCGGAUUUAUUGGGUUUAAAGGGAGCGGAGGCGGGUUGUUAAGUCAGUUGUGAAAGUUUGCGGCUCAACCGUAAAAUUGCAGUUGAUACUGGCAGCCUUGAGUACAGUAGAGGUAGGCGGAAUGCGUGGUGUAGCGGUGAAAUGCUUAGAUAUCGCGAAGAACUCCGAUUGCGAAGGCAGCCUGCUGGACUGUAACUGACGCUGAGGCUCGAAAGUGUGGGUAUCAAACAGGAUUAGAUACCCCAGUAGUC